CUACGUCGAUUUGCUGCGGGCUAAUAAAAUGAAUAUGAGCGUCAAUUCCGCCUGCUGUGACGAUGAGCCCUUCGCCUGCAAUCGCCUCAGUGCUCGCACCUACGAUCAUAUGUGAUUCCACCCCAUCCAUGAUGUCAGGGUUUCCCCCCUUGCCAAUCCCGACAAUGUGUCCAUCUUUAAUGCCAAUAUCGGCUUUCACAAUCCCUGUGUAAUCAAUAAUCGUGGCAUUCGUAAUAAUCAGGUCAAGCACACCUUCAUCCCGCGUAUAAACAGCACUUUGCCCCAUGCCAUCGCGCAG
rnacentral:sRNA from 1 species